UGGUCACUACCAAGGCUGCUAGGAAACACCGUUUCUGGUAUGCUGUGGACGUGACCACAAAGUAACUCCUGCAGAUUUUUCAUGUUGCUGCUAUAGUAGCAUCAAAUCUGUUGGAAACAUUU
rnacentral:snoRNA from 1 species